ACGUAGGGCGCAAGCGUUAUCCGGAUUUAUUGGGCGUAAAGAGCUCGUAGGCGGUUCGUCGCGUCUGGUGUGAAAGCCCAUCGCUUAACGGUGGGUCUGCGCCGGAUACGGGCGGGCUUGAGAGUGGUAGGGGAGACUGGAAUUCCCGGUGUAACGGUGGAAUGUGUAGAUAUCGGGAAGAACACCAAUGGCGAAGGCAGGUCUCUGGGCCAUUUCUGACGCUGAGGAGCGAAAGCGUGGGGAGCGAACAGG
rnacentral:rRNA from 1 species